rnacentral:lncRNA from 1 species
AUGCUCGUAAAACUGCAUCUUGUCCAGAUUCCACCCCCAACAGUGACGCAACCAACUAUAAGAGUAAUUAAAAAUAGUCUUAAAUAUCUGAAGUGUCAACAGAAAAUUCAAGCAAAUUAUGAGAAAUUUUAUAUAUAAAGUUCACGAUUUAAACACUGGGUAUGGAUGAAUAGGAUAGAAAGGGACUGUUGUUUAGUCUUUACCCUUCUUGAAGUGUAGUUGGCGAGGUAUGGGAUAGUACCGACAUAGCCUACGAGUCCCAUAUAAGGGAUAGCAUAUGAUGCUGUGAGAAAGUUGGCGGUGUCGGCAUAAGGGUCGAAUGGAGGAU